rnacentral:tRNA from 1 species
GAGGGUGUAGCUCAGGGGUGGAGCGCCUGCUUAGCAUGCACGAUGUUCUGGGUUCCAUCCCCAGUACCGCCG